rnacentral:rRNA from 1 species
UUAACACAUGCAAGUCGAGCGGGCCCUUCGGGGUCAGCGGCGGACGGGUGAGUAACGCGUGGGAACGUGCCCUCUGGUCUGGAAUAACCCUGGGAAACUAGGGCUAAUACCGGAUACGCCCUUUUGGGGAAAGGCUUGCUGCCGGAGGAUCGGCCCGCGUCUGAUUAGCUAGUUGGUGGGGUAACGGCCUACCAAGGCGACGAUCAGUAGCUGGUCUGAGAGGAUGAUCAGCCACACUGGGACUGAGACACGGCCCAGACUCCUACGGGAGGCAGCAGUGGGGAAUAUUGGACAAUGGGCGCAAGCCUGAUCCAGCCAUGCCGCGUGAGUGAUGAAGGCCUUAGGGUUGUAAAGCUCUUUUAUCCGGGACGAUAAUGACGGUACCGGAGGAAUAAGCCCCGGCUAACUUCGUGCCAGCAGCCGCGGUAAUACGAAGGGGGCUAGCGUUGCUCGGAAUCACUGGGCGUAAAGGGCGCGUAGGCGGCGUUUUAAGUCGGGGGUGAAAGCCUGUGGCUCAACCACAGAAUGGCCUUCGAUACUGGGACGCUUGAGUAUGGUAGAGGUCGGUGGAACUGCGAGUGUAGAGGUGAAAU